ACGUGUUGCUCUUCCGAUCUCGACAAUGACACGACGAAGGGGCUUGAACAUCUCGCCGUAGACGGUGGAAGCCCGGGGCAUGAAACGGUCUAGCCGGUCGAAUGCAGUAAAGCGCGCAAACCGUGCUUGAACCUUAUUAGACCCAUGGGGACCCACCCUCUCACCCACGAAUCCCCCCAUCGACCGAUAGCGCUCAAGUACCGUGAGGGAAUGGUGGACCGGCCCUACGCAAGGGAGCGACUUCGAGAACUGAACCUCGAUGCUGAUCGAUCAGUCGGGACUGGCCGGGGUGCCAAACCACCCGACCUUCAAAAGCACGGUGGGGACCCGACCCACGGCGUACCUUUUGCAUAAUGGGUCAGCGAGUCGUGGGGAAGCAGCGGCUUAAGCCGGUAGGUGUAGGUUCGACCACGGUGGCUGUGGUCCCGCCGGUCCCCGUCUAACCCGAACCCGAUUGAUCUAGCCAUCCGCAGGUUGAUGGGGGCGUACAGCCCAAUCGUCGGAAGACCGCACCCCGGCAUGUGGCAGAAUGCGGGGAUGACGGGUGGCUAGGGGUGAAAGGCCAAUCAAAUCUGGAGAUAGCUGGUUCUCCGCGAAAUAUAUUUAGGUAUAGCCUCAUGAGAGCAUCGUGGAGGUAGAGCACUGUUUGGACGAGGGGCCCAUCCCGGGUUACCGAAUUCAGACAAACUCCGAAUGCCACAGAUGUGAUGCACGGGAGUCAGACAGCGGGUGAUAAGGUCCGUUGUCGAGAGGGAAACAGCCCAGACUGGCGGCUAAGGCCCCGAAUCCAUGCUCAGUGUAGAUAAGGAAGUGGAGUUGCUUGGACAGCUAGGAUGUUGGCUUAGAAGCAGCCAUCAUUUAAAGAAAGCGUAAUAGCUCACUGGUCAAGCGAAUCUGCGCCGAAAAUGUAACGGGGCUCAAGCAUGGAGCCGAAGCCACGGACUUCGCGCAAGCGGAGUGGUAGGGGAGCGUUCCCAUGCCGGCGAAGCGGCGGCGGAAGCCAGCCGUGGAGGCAUGGGAAGUGAGAAUGCUGGCAUGAGUAGCGAGAAAUAUGUGAGAACCAUAUUCGCCGAAAGUCUAAGGUUUCCGACGGAAGGUCAGUCCGCGUCGGGUUAGUCGGGCCUAAGCCGAGGACUAAAGUCGUAGGCGAUGGACAGCUGGUUAGUAUUCCAGCACCACUAGCAGGGCGUUUUAAGGCAGAGGAGUGACCCAGUAAGAUAGGCGGAUCGUGCCCAUUGGACAUGGUACGUCCUUGGGGCGUAGGCGUCUGGUGAUAGUUAAAUGCGUCGCCAGGUUAAGCGGAGGCCUCGAGGCGAGCGGAGACGUAAGUCAAGGCGAGUCUGUUGAGUCUGCACUGGCAAGAAAAGCUUCGUUGCUAGCACUGUUGGUGCCCGUACCGCAAACCGACUCUGGUGGGCGGGGGUAAGUACCCUUAGGUGAUCGAGAUAACCCUCGUUAAGGAACUCGGCAAAAUAGCUCCGUACCUAUGGUAUAAGGAGUGCCUGCAGUUUUUACGAGGAGUAGGGACUGCAGGUCGCAGUGACUAGGGGGUCCCGACUGUUUAAUAAAAACACAGGUGGUCGCUAGUCCGAAAGGAUGUGUAUGGCCUCUGUAUCCUGGCCAGUGGCGGUACCUAAAACCUGAGUUCAAUUGGGCUAAGGGCCGCUAAACGCCGGGAGCAACUCUGACUCUCUUAAGGUAGCCAAAUGCCUUGUCGGGUAAGUUCCGACGUGCAUGAAUGGAACAACGAGAGCCCCACUGUCCCCGCCUACAACCCGGUGAAGCUACAUAAGGUGGACGAACAGUCCAUCAUCUUCCAUCGGGGAGAGAAGACCCCGUGGAGUUUUACUGCAGCUUGUGCUUGCGGUAUAGUUGACAUUGCAUAGUGUAUCUGGUAGCCAUGCUUAACAUCCUCCGGGGUGUUAAGAAGCGCCGUUGUAACACCAGACCUUGUUUGCAGUAUCGCUUAUCAGGUGAAGACCUGAGACACGUGCAGGUGGGCAGUUCGGCUGGGGCGGCACCCCUUUGAAAAGAUAUCAAAGGGGCCCAAAGUUCAGCUCAAACGGGUCAGAAAUCCGUUGAAGAGGGCAAAGCCAAAAGCUGGAUUGACUGGAUCUCCAAACGCACGGGAUCCAGAGACGAAAGUCGGGCUUAGCGAUCCUUCGUGUGCCCACUAUUGGGGCCCGGAGGUGACAGAAAAAUUACCCCAGGGAUAACAGGCUCGUCGCGGGCGAGAGCUCCUAUCGACCCCGCGGUUUGGUACCUCGAUGUCGGCUUUUCCUAUCCUGGUCCUGCAGCAGGGGCCAAGGGUGAGGCUGCUCGCCUAUUAAAAGGGAACAUGAGCUGGUUAGACCGUCGUGAGACAGGUCGGUCCCUAUCUGCCGUGGGCGUGGGAGGCUUGAGGGGAUUCCCCCCUAGUACGAGAGGAUUGGGGGGGACCGACCUCUGGUGUGCCGGCUGUCCCGCUCGGGGCACCGCCGGGUAGCCAGGUCGGGACCGGAUAAGCGCUGAAGGCAUCUAAGCGCGAAACCCUCCGCGAGAUGAGGCCUCCCGCACCUCAGGUGCGAAGGCUCCUGGAAGACGACCAGGUCGAUAGGCCGGGUGU
rnacentral:rRNA from 1 species